AUGUGUGAUGAUCUUCAUUAUCAGAGCAUUGUCCCAAGUGAGGAAAGGAUGAUGAAUACUAUGAUUCCCCUACAAGUUGGGAUGAGACUUCGGACUUUAAAAAAAAAAGAAAAAAAGAGGCAAAGAGCCCGCCAAAAAAAAGAAAGGCCAAAUAAAAAAAGAAAUGAGAGAAAAAGAGAGAAGGGACAAUGCUACUAUCUCUUUUCCACACUUGUGCUUCAAAAUAGCACCAUGAUCUUCAUGAUAGAGAGUCUCUUGUGUUGUCACUUUCAUAUACUAGUGGGAAUUUUUCAUUAUAGAACUUGGCUUGUAUAUUCUAAUGAUGGGCUUCCUCAAAAUGCCCUAGGUCUUCGUGAGCAAGCAAGUUGGAUGCACAACCACUUAGUUUCUUUUGUUGAGCUUUCAUACAUUUAUAGCUCUAGUACAUCCGUUGCAUGA
rnacentral:rRNA from 1 species